rnacentral:lncRNA from 1 species
UCUUAUCAUCUAGCUCAAAUUUUAUGGUUUUCUUGUCUUUCCCAAUCUUUAGGUACUCCUCAAACUAUUAUUUUAGGUCUUCAUGCAGGUUUGUGGUUGAACUCCAUCCCAAUUAACUUUUGGCUGCUCUAGGCUCAGCAUAGAAGUGCUGCAUCAUAGAUAGAUACUAAUACCAUAUUACGGAAAGGGAAAGCUUUCUUUGCAUCAAUACCAAUAGAUUCUG